GGAGAAAUGGCCGAGUGGUCGAAGGCGUCGCACUCGAAAUGCGAUGUGGGGUGACCCACCGUGGGUUCGAAUCCCACUUUCUCCUCCA
rnacentral:tRNA from 1 species